CCGCAUGGGGAUAUUUGCUAAAGAUUCAUCGCUGAUAGAUAGGCAUGCGUUCCAUUAGGCAGUUGGCGGGGUAACGGCCCACCAAACCGACGAUGGAUAGGGGUUCUGAGAGGAAGGUCCCCCACAUUGGUACUGAGACACGGACCAAACUCCUACGGGAGGCAGCAGUGAGGAAUAUUGGUCAAUGGGCGUAAGCCUGAACCAGCCAAGUCGCGUGAGGGAUGAAGGUUCUAUGGAUCGUAAACCUCUUUUAUAAGGGAAUAAAGUGCGGGACGUGUCCCGUUUUGUAUGUACCUUAUGAAUAAGGAUCGGCUAACUCCGUGCCAGCAGCCGCGGUAAUACGGAGGAUCCGAGCGUUAUCCGGAUUUAUUGGGUUUAAAGGGUGCGUAGGCGGCCUUUUAAGUCAGCGGUGAAAGUCUGUGGCUCAACCAUAGAAUUGCCGUUGAAACUGGGAGGCUUGAGUAUGUUUGAGGCAGGCGGAAUGCGUGGUGUAGCGGUGAAAUGCUUAGAUAUCACGCAGAACCCCGAUUGCGAAGGCAGCCUGCCAAGCCAUGACUGACGCUGAUGCACGAAAGCGUGGGGAUCAAACAGGAUUAGAUACCCUGGUAGUCCACGCAGUAAACAAUGAUCACUAGCUGUUUGCGAUACAGUGUAAGCGGC
rnacentral:rRNA from 1 species